rnacentral:rRNA from 1 species
UACGUAGGGUGCAAGCGUUGUCCGGAAUUAUUGGGCGUAAAGAGCUCGUAGGCGGUGUGUCGCGUCGGCCGUGAAAACUUGCAGCUUAACUGUGGGCGUGCGGUCGAUACGGGCAUCACUGGAGUUCGGCAGGGGAGACUGGAAUUCCUGGUGUAGCGGUGAAAUGCGCAGAUAUCAGGAGGAACACCGGUGGCGAAGGCGGGUCUCUGGGCCGAUACUGACGCUGAGGAGCGAAAGCGUGGGGAGCAAACAGG